rnacentral:rRNA from 1 species
UUGGCGGGGUAACGGCCCACCAAGACAACGAUGGAUAGGGGUUCUGAGAGGAAGGUCCCCCACAUUGGAACUGAGACACGGUCCAAACUCCUACGGGAGGCAGCAGUGAGGAAUAUUGGUCAAUGGACGAGAGUCUGAACCAGCCAAGUAGCGUGAAGGAUGACUGCCCUAUGGGUUGUAAACUUCUUUUAUAUGGGAAUAAAACGUUCCACGUGUGGAAUUUUGUAUGUACCAUAUGAAUAAGGAUCGGCUAACUCCGUGCCAGCAGCCGCGGUAAUACGGAGGAUCCGAGCGUUAUCCGGAUUUAUUGGGUUUAAAGGGAGCGUAGGUGGAUUGUUAAGUCAGUUGUGAAAGUUUGCGGCUCAACCGUAAAAUUGCAGUUGAAACUGGCAGUCUUGAGUACAGUAGAGGUGGGCGGAAUUCGUGGUGUAGCGGUGAAAUGCUUAGAUAUCACGAAGAACUCCGAUUGCGAAGGCAGCUCACUGGACUGCAACUGACACUGAGGCUCGAAAGUGUGGGUAUCAAACAGGAUUAGAUACCCUGGUAGUCCACACAGUAAACGAUGAAUACUCGCUGUUUGCGAUAUACAGCAAGCGGC